AACAACUCUAGUUGUCUAGUGUUUGAUUUGUAAAACUGUUUCAGGCACAGGACAAACUGGAGGCAAUGGACAGGACAA
rfam:Medicago truncatula strain A17 chromosome 3, whole genome shotgun sequence.